UACGGAGGGAGCUAGCGUUGUUCGGAAUUACUGGGCGUAAAGCGCGCGUAGGCGGCUUUGUAAGUUAGAGGUGAAAGCCCGGGGCUCAACCCCGGAACUGCCUUUAAAACUGCAUCGCUAGAACGUCGGAGAGGUAAGUGGAAUUCCGAGUGUAGAGGUGAAAUUCGUAGAUAUUCGGAAGAACACCAGUGGCGAAGGCGACUUACUGGACGACUGUUGACACUGAGGUGCGAAAGCGUGGGGAGCAAACAGG
rnacentral:rRNA from 1 species